UUCGAAUCUCUAAUGCCUCUCCUGGUAAAGAUGGCUUAAUCAAGCAGGUGAUUAUGGUUGACCCUUUGGAAGCCAAACGUAUGGCAGCGAAAGAAAUGGAAAAGAUAAAAGCAAAAGAGAAGUUCAAGAGAAGACGUCAAAUAGAAGCGAUCAAUGGAGCAUGGGCAAUGAUCGGUCUGACAGCAGGGCUUGUUAUCGAAGGUCAAACCGGAAAAGGCAUUCUAGCACAGUUGGCCGACUACUUCAGCUUCAUUAUCAACUUCUUCGUACGGUAGAAACAUCUUCAAGGCGCA
rnacentral:misc_RNA from 1 species